UACAGAGGUGGCAAGCGUUGUUCGGAAUUACUGGGCGUAAAGGGCGCGUAGGCGGCCUACUAAGUCAGACGUGAAAUCCCCCGGCUUAACCUGGGAACUGCGUCUGAUACUGGAAGGCUUGAGGAUGGGAGAGGGAUGUAGAAUUCCAGGUGUAGCGGUGAAAUGCGUAGAUAUCUGGAGGAACACCGGUGGCGAAGGCGGCAUCCUGGACCAAUACUGACGCUGAGGAGCGAAAGCCAGGGGAGCAAACGGG
rnacentral:rRNA from 1 species